ensembl:snoRNA
GUGAGGUGAUGACACAGUUUAUCCAUUCUCUGAGUGCAGUGGAGCUGCCCUCCUGCAGCACCCCAGCUCCUGUUCUAGGGUCUGGGUGCUGUGCGGCCUUCAGACAUCCUGCAGCAUCCCAGUGUCCUACUGGGGGCUGCUGUGGUGUGUGGCUGGCUGCCUGCAGGAGGGGAGCAGUGCUGGCAGGGUUGGAGCCCCUCUUUGGGGGGUUCCAUCCUCACUGGGACGAGGGAUGGUGUCUGAUCAC